AUGUUAGGGAAAAAUUUAAGUAUCAGCAUUACAGCAUUGCUUAGAGUAACUUAGAACUAGUAGAAGUAAAAUAUAUCUGUGUAGGAUGCUUGCAGAAACCUGCAAAAGGUAGAACAUCCUUUAUUCUUUGAUGUUCUUCGCACCUUAGUACUGCUUUAAGACAACAGCCCUCACUUACAGUAAAACGCAGCAGAUGUUUUAGUCAAUGCCAAGCAUGCAUAACUAAGUGAGAGACCAUGAAACAUUAAGCAAUGCUUUGAAUGAGUCAUAUGUUCUCUAUGAAUAACCACAUGUGUCAAGAACAGCAUGAUAUUUGCCUCAGCUGUCAAUAGUAUUUGCCAAGUUAGCAGAAAUAAUGAGACAGAUUAUAAGUGAUGGAUGUUUAUCCUCUUGUGGUUUCCUCACCCUUUUCUAGCGUGUUGUUCAGUUUCAGCUGACAGAGCUCUACCCAGAAAGCCAAUAAAGUGAAUCACUGAUUCUACUGAUUGUUGACAAGAAACAUAAAUUGGUCAAGGAGAACGUCACGAUUCUCUGAAAAGAUAUUAUUUCCAGACACGAAUGUACGCACAGGGAGGUGAGAAAGCCACAAGGGGAGAGCAUAUAAAUUGUGAAUCAACAAGUGAAGCUCAACUCUCUGCUGUGGGUGACACAAGGAGAGUUCCAUGCGCAUGUUAUAAUAAACAUGGAUUGAAGCAGCA